rnacentral:rRNA from 1 species
AUUGAACGCUGGCGGCAGGCCUAACACAUGCAAGUCGAGCGGUAGCACAGAGAGCUUGCUCUCGGGUGACGAGCGGCGGACGGGUGAGUAAUGUCUGGGAAACUGCCUGAUGGAGGGGGAUAACUACUGGAAACGGUAGCUAAUACCGCAUAAUGUCGCAAGACCAAAGUGGGGGACCUUCGGGCCUCAUGCCAUCAGAUGUGCCCAGAUGGGAUUAGCUAGUAGGUGGGGUAACGGCUCACCUAGGCGACGAUCCCUAGCUGGUCUGAGAGGAUGACCAGCCACACUGGAGCUGGGACACGGUCCAGACUCCUACGGGAGGCAGCAGUGGGGAAUAUUGCACAAGGGGCGCAAGCCUGAUGCAGCCAUGCCGCGUGUGUGAAGAAGGCCUUCGGGUUGUAAAGCACUUUCAGCGGGGAGGAAGGCGGUGAGGUUAAUAACCUCAUCGAUUGACGUUACCCGCAGAAGAAGCACCGGCUAACUCCGUGCCAGCAGCCGCCGUAA